CAGGGCUGAGUUCAACCCCGGGGUUGAAAUUUCAACCCUGCUAGCUGAAGCAGGGUUGAAAUUUCAACCCGGGGUUGAACUCAGCCCUG
rnacentral:miRNA from 1 species